AAUUCAAACCCAGCCAAGCAGGGAGGCUCACCAGUUCCAAAGAGCCGUUAAAGCCGCCUCUCUGUUAAGGCCCUUAACUGGGAUCGUUCGGGAACUGAUCUACCUUGAAAAAAGUUUGGUGUGGUACUUGAGGAGGACAGGGCAAAG